UGUUUACAAAAGAAUAUCAUUAUAUUCAUUGGUGGCAAGUAACAAAGUAAGUUCACUUUUCAAGUGGCAGAAAAUAUCAAAUGCAACAUUUCUAUUAACUCAACAAACAUCAGCAAGAACACAAACUGUGCGCAGUCUGCCGCACAGUGUGCUGCUAGCGAAAAGUCCACCUGCUGUACUGCUGCUUUUUCAGGGAGAGAAUGCUAGCUUUAGUCAGAGAUGGAGAAAAUUGUAAGACAGAUAGGAGACAAAAGGAAAAAGAGGGGUUAUAUGUAAAGACAGACGGUGCUCAGGGUGAGAGCUGUGCCUCUGCUGAAGUGUCCCAUUGAGUUUGGUGAAGUGGACUUAUCUCCUACCAUCCCCUCUCGCAUCACACUCACUACUGGAUCCAGACAGGGCUGAGUGCCACACUGAUCCUGCCCUCCUCACACCAGAGAGGCCUCUUUCUUCUGGGCUCAGUCCCACACUCAGACCCCCUCAACCUACCACCGUCCUUACAGUUGUCAGAGUGCUGCAUAUCGCUAAAGGUAAAAGUGUAUUUCCCCCAAAAUGAAGCAACGUUAUGCAGUAAUCCGGAGAGCUCUCAAAGUACACCAGGUCAUUUUUGGUAGUCACCCGUCUUCCUGAAGUCUGACAUAGCAUUCCAGCAUGUCCGUAGCGUGCAAGAGCCGCUCACUCCGUGACAUUUACACUCCAGCUUCAUGAAGCGCUUCACCGCCUAAGUGAAGGAGAUUUUG